GUGUAGCAUCAUCAAGAUUCACAUGCAAAAAAGCAUGCCAUAUAUAUGAGCUGAGCCCAGCUUUGGAUGGUGAGAAUCUUGAUGAUGCUGCAU
rnacentral:pre_miRNA from 1 species